AGAGCGAACGCUGGCGGCAUGCUUAACACAUGCAAGUCGCACGGGCAGGGGAAACUCUGUCAGUGGCGGACGGGUGAGUAACGCGUAGGUAUCUGUCCAUGGGUGGGGGAUAACGGCGGGAAAACUGCUGCUAAUACCGCAUGACACCUGAGGGUCAAAGGCGCAAGUCGCCUGUGGAGGAGCCUGCGUCCGAUUAGCUAGUUGGUGGGUAACGGCCUACCAAGGCGACGAUCGGUAGCUGGUCUGAGAGGAUGAUCAGCCACACUGGGACUGAGACACGGCCCAGACUCCUACGGAGGCAGCAGUGGGGAAUAUUGGACAAUGGGCGCAAGCCUGAUCCAGCAAUGCCGCGUGGGUGAGAAGGUCUUCGGAUUGUAAAGCCCUUUGGCGGGACGAUGAUGACGGUACCCGCAGAAGAGCCCGGCUAACUUCGUGCCAGCAGCCGC
rnacentral:rRNA from 1 species